rnacentral:rRNA from 1 species
GACGAACGCUGGCGGCGUGCCUAAUACAUGCGAGUAGAACGCUGAAGGAGGAGCUUGCUCUUCUGGAUGAGUUGCGAACGGGUGAGUAACGCGUAGGUAACCUGCCUGGUAGCGGGGGAUAACUAUUGGAAACGAUAGCUAAUACCGCAUAAGAGUAGAUGUUGCAUGACAUUUGCUUAAAAGGUGCAAUUGCAUCACUACCAGAUGGACCUGCGUUGUAUUAGCUAGUUGGUGGGGUAACGGCUCACCAAGGCGACGAUACAUAGCCGACCUGAGAGGGUGAUCGGCCACACUGGGACUGAGACACGGCCCAGACUCCUACGGGAGGCAGCAGUAGGGAAUCUUCGGCAAUGGACGGAAGUCUGACCGAGCAACGCCGCGUGAGUGAAGAAGGUUUUCGGAUCGUAAAGCUCUGUUGUAAGAGAAGAACGAGUGUGAGAGUGGAAAGUUCACACUGUGACGGUAUCUUACCAGAAAGGGACGGCUAACUACGUG